AGUUGGAAGAAUGUGACGGUAUUAUCUCCUCAUCGACUGGUGCAUUAUCUCGUAGAUCUGCUACCCUCGUCGACUGGUGCCUCGGUUUUUCUGCCUCCCCACCGUCAUUUCGAAAAGGGAGAAUGUGCAGGGUGGAGAGAGUGGUGCAUGAGAUCUGAAGAGGAUAAGGAUGAAACGAUGAGAGAAGCCGAGCCACCAUUGUCGGCUCCUCUCUAUUUUCGCUGUUCUAUAAACAGUACUGGGUGCGCGUUGGGCUACGUGCGCACAAAAGAUGGUUAUCCACGCUUGGUUUGGACGGGGGCUGCCAUGCUACAAUGAUGUGCUUUGAGAAAAAUGUAUGGUGUAUCUCUGUGGUGCAGAUUUUCUGGAUACUUUUGUUGAGUGCUUUGAUUUGAAUUUCAAAUUUUGAAAUUCCCCUCACCCUUACCCUUUCUCUCUUUUUCAUUUCAGUCUUAAAUUUGAAAAUUUCCCCUACCCGUACCUUUUCCUUUCCAAAUCAAAUCCAUUCUUCACUUUUAACUCCCUGCUUUUCAAUUGCGUUUUUAAUUCUAUUUCUCCACAUCCCUUCCCCCCUCCUCCUCAAUUUCCCAGGGGAAUCAUUACUCUUUCUUCUUCGCUUAUAAACCAACUCUGGGGCCUUCAGUUUGCUGCCUCUGAUGCCGAUAACUCUCAUAUACGGCAGGGAGUGCUUCUGGAGUGAAGCCUACAGACAUAAAACGCUUCUAAGGCAGGCAUGAGAAGCUCAAAUUUCAGCUGAAGAAAAUGAGGUGAGGUUAUGUCGUGCUAAAAGUACUGGAGAGAUUUAUGCCAUGAAGAAAUCAAAGAAAUCAGAGAUGCUUAGCCGAGGAUUGGUAAUAUAUAGCAAUCAAGCUUCGUACAUACUCUGCAUAAAUGUUACUUCAAUGCAACAAUCUUCUUAUCACUCGUCACGAGAAAAAGCAAAACCUUGUAUUCAUUAGCCUCUAACUUUAGUUAGUGUUCAUUCAUUUUAAUCUGAUGAGUUAUUUCAAA